rnacentral:lncRNA from 1 species
UAUUGCCACAAAGGUCAGCUGAUAAGGCUGCUGUCGGUAGUCAGCAGCGCUUAGCACGAAUUCUAUUUGUUUUGAAACUAUAAAUUAACGGUAGUUUAGCGCAACAGAUUCAGUUUGAGUUUCCAACUUGACAAGCAAACAGAAUAUAUAUACAAAUUCAUCAUGAAAGUGCUAUUCUUCCUCGCUCUGUUCGUUGCCGCGAUUUGCGCCGUUAUGGGUCAAAGCUGCCCGACCAACUUCAAGUGGGAUUCUGGCAACAAGCUCUGCACGGCUGAGCGCCCCAUUCAUGGCGAAUGUCCUCCCAACUCUCAAUACAAUUUGAACUACAACAAGUGCGUCUACAAACGCCCUUAAAUGGUUUCAAUUUAUUGCGUCACUUUGUUCUUUGUCGUCAGAUGUUGUGAAUAAGAAUAAAAAAAUAUGAAAAGUUGAAAUGUGUUGAAAU